rnacentral:rRNA from 1 species
CCAAUAGCGUAUAUUAAAGUUGUUGCAGUUAAAAAGCUCGUAGUUGAAUUUCGGGAUUAGUACGCUGGUCAUGCCUUCGGUAUGUACUGGUGUUACUGGUUCCUACCUUCUGACGAACCGUCAUGUCAUUAAUUUGGUGUGGCGGGGAAUCAGGACUGUUACUUUGAAAAAUUAGAGUGUUUAAAGCAGGCUCGCGCUUGAAUACAUUAGCAUGGAAUAAUGAAAUAGGACGUUCGAUCCUAUUUUGUUGGUUUCUAGGAUUGACGUAAUGAUUAAUAGGGAUAGUUGGGGGCAUUAGUAUUCAAUUGUCAGAGGUGAAAUUCUUGGAUUUAUUGAAGACUAACUACUGCGAAAGCAUUUGCCAAGGAUGUUUUCAUUAAUCAAGAACGAAAGUUAGGGGAUCGAAGACGAUCAGAUACCGUCGUAGUCUUAACCAUAAACUAUGCCGACUAGGGAUCGGAUGAUGUUAAUUUUUUAAUGACUCAUUCGGCGCCUUACG